UGAGUAAUACUUGGAUAAUCUGCCACUAGGAUUGGGAUAACCUCAGGAAACUGAGACUAAUACCAAAUAUGACCACAGUCUUUACGGAGACAGGGGUAAAAUGUUUUUCGCCUAGUGAUGAGUCCAAGUCGCAUCAGGUUGUUGGUAAGGUAAUGGCUUACCAAGCCUAUGACGCGUAGCAGGCUUAGCGGAUGAUCUGCCACAUGGGGACUGAGAUACGGCCCUGACUCCUACGGGAGGCACAGUGAGGAAUAUUGACAAUGGACGAAAGUCUGAUCCAGCGAUGCCGCGUGAAGGAUGAAGGCCUUAGGGUUGUAAACUUCUGUAGCAGGAAGAUAUGACGGUACCUGCAGAG
rnacentral:rRNA from 1 species